rnacentral:rRNA from 1 species
CCUACGGGAGGCAGCAGUGGGGAAUAUUGGGCAAUGGGCGCAAGCCUGACCCAGCAACGCCGCGUGAAGGAAGAAGGCUUUCGGGUUGUAAACUUCUUUUAUGAGGGACGAAACAAAUGACGGUACCUCAUGAAUAAGCCACGGCUAACUACGUGCCAGCAGCCGCGGUAAUACGUAGGUGGCAAGCGUUAUCCGGAUUUACUGGGUGUAAAGGGCGUGUAGGCGGGACUGCAAGUCAGAUGUGAAAAUUAUGGGCUCAACCCAUAACGUGCAUUUGAAACUGUAGUUCUUGAGUGAUGGAGAGG